ACGCGAAAGCCCCCUUCGGGGGGCAAGUAGAGUGGCGCACGGGUGAGUAACACGUAGGUAAUCUACCUUUGGAUGGGGAAUAACAACCGGAAACGGUUGCUAAUACCGCAUAAUGCAGCGGCACCUAAUGGUGACAGUUGUUAAAGCGGGGGAUCGUAAGACCUCGCGUCUGAAGAGGAGCCUGCGGCGGAUUAGCUAGUUGGUAAGGUAACGGCUUACCAAGGCUUUGAUCCGUAGCCGGCCUGAGAGGGCGGUCGGCCACACUGACACUGACAUACGGGUCAGACUCCUACGGGAGGCAGCAGUCGGGAAUUUUGGGCAAUGGGCGAAAGCCUGACCCAGCAACGCCGCGUGAAGGAUGAAAUCCCUCGGGAUGUAAACUUCGCAAGAACAGGAAGAAUAAGUAAGGGUUAAUAUCUCUUACGAUGACGGUAUUGUUUGUAAGCUCCGGCUAACUCCGUGCCAGCAGCCGCGGUAAUACGGGGGGAGCAAGCGUUG
rnacentral:rRNA from 1 species